CAGGGAUCAGAUCUGAGCCUCAGCUAUGGCAGUUCCAGAUCCUUUAACCCACUGGGCCUGACUUGGGAUUGAUCCCAUGCCUCUGCAGUGACCAGAGCUGUUCAGUUGGAUUCUUAACCCAUUGCACCAUAGGAGGAAUUCUCAGUAUUGUCCUUUAUAGCUAUGUGUAUAUACUUGUAUAUGUGCUUGGGGUCCACAGCCCACUCCAGGAUCAAACAUUGCAUUUAGUUGUCCUGACCCUGGGUUUCCUUUAAUCUGGAACAUAUGUUCACCCUUUCUUUGUGCUCUUGGCCUUUACAUUUUUUAAAACUACAGGCCAGUUAUCUUUAAAAUGUCUCUUAUGAUGUGAUUCAGGUAAUGAAUUUUUGCCAGAAACAUCACAAAAUGACAAUGUAUCUUCUUAGUGCAGCAUUAUAGGAAACAAAUCAUGUUGGUUGCCCCAGUAUUGGUGAUGUUAACUUUGAUCAUUGGUUAAGGCCGUGUCCCUCUAGUAAUUUCUGGGGUGAUAUUUUGAGAAUAUGUAAAUCAUCUCAUCAAAUAUUCACCAACUGGUUUAUGUAUCUAUUGAUGAUUCUUGCCUUAGUUUUUUUACCACAGUGGUUGCAAAAUAGUAAUCUCAUUUCUUCCUCAGUAAUUAGUUGGCAUUCUACUGUAAGGAAGAGCUUCCUCUCCACACAUUUAUUUAUAUCAGUAUAGAUUCAUGUUUUAUUUAAUGCGUUGUACUUUGUUUCUUUUCAUAAUUUAUUUUGAUGCUUGAAUUGUCCCAGGAUAGGCUCCUUGCUGCCCACCCUCCAUCCCGCCACCCUCACCUUUCAGGCUGGCUCCUGUGUCCUUUAUGGUAUGUUCCCAUCUUUAUUGAGCAGUUUCUGGCACAAGAUGUUCUAGGGGCUCAUCUUGUUAUUUUCUCUACCCUAGCCUUCUGAGGCUCUUGUUACUUUGGGGUAGAAUAUGUAUUUAGAAACUAAAAGCUGGGAACUAGGUAUGCUCAUUGCUACUGGAGUGUUACGGCCAUGAGGCCCUUUCAGUGGACAUACCUGUAAACACACAUAAGCAUGAUAUCUGUCUUUAUUUCUACCCUUCCCUUUAUCUGUUUAAAACAUUGAAUUCAUUCUGAUGAUUCAAAAUCCAAUCCAGAUGGCUUCUAUGGUGCAGGCUUCAGCUGUUGGGCACUCUCCCUUUUCCCCUAAAGUAUGAGCUGCCUUGAAGGUCCGUAUUUCCUGCCAUGCAUUUGGCUCUCUUAUAAGAGGAUAGGGCAAAAGGGGAGAAAAAUAAUAGUUGACUGCCACCCUAAUGAGGCUUUCAAAAAUUUCAAGACAAUUCUUCCUACCCAAGAGAGAAUUAAAGUUGUGGCAUCUACUGGAGAGUGCAUCAAUAGUUAAGUAUCAGCUGUCACCAAAGAUAGCUACAUACUUAUGUAGUAUAGCACAAAAGGUCUCAAGUGUAGAGUAAAAUGAGCAAGAUGAACAUCUCUGGAAGCAGUCAUAGAAGCCACACACACACACACACACACACACGCACGCAUGCACAAACACACAGACACAGAAUUAUAGACAUGCAAACACAUAUGCACAGAUACACUGCAUUAAUUUCCUAGGACUGUUGUAGCAAAUCACGACACACUGGGUGGCUUAAAAAAACAUCAGAAAUUAAUUUUCUCACAGUUUCUGAAAUAAACUUGAAAAACUGGAUAAACAAUGAGGUCCUGCUGUAUAGUGCUGGGAACUAUAUCUCAUCACUUAUGAUGGAGCAUGAUAAUGUGAGAAAAAAUGUAUACAUGUAUGUGUAGCUGGGUCACCUUGCAGUAUAGUAGAAAAUUGACAGAACACUGUAAACCACCUAUAGUGGAUAAAAUAAAAAUCAUUAUAAAAAAAGAAAAACUGGAAUAUAAACAAAACAAUUUUACAGUUACUAUUUUUUUGUCUUUGUUUUUCAAUUUUUGUCGUUUAUUUUUAGUUGCUCUGUGAUUUCAAAUUAUGGUUUAUGGUAUACUGUGUAAUAAGUAAUUAUAAAAUUAAUUGUUAGAACUUCUUAUUUCUAGAAAUGUUAGGAGUUUCUUUGUAGAGCAUUGAACUAAGAUUUUUUUUUUUCACCUUUAGAUAAGGAGUUCCUGUUUGGGGUUUAGUAGAUUAAGAAUAUUCAGUGUUAUGAAAAUACAAUGCAAAUAAAAGAAUAUGGUUCAUCCUGUCGAAAGAAUUCCUUUGCUAGGGGCUGUAUUUAAGUGCUUGAUAAACGCUAAAUUAGCAAAAUCCCCUUUGAUUUGACUUUUAGCUCUUAGGCAUUAUAACAUCUAUCAGCUGUUAAAAGAGUUCUUGUUUGUUUUUAUGUUUCUUUAUGUGAUCUUUAGUUACCUCACAGUUAAUGUACAUGAUAAUGAAGAGGAUGUGUUAGUUACAUCCUGGGUUGUCAAAAAACAGAGACAUAAAUAGAAGAGAAGGCAUAAGGGUGUGAAUCACCUCCCCUAGUAUUUCUCUUUCCUCUGGCUAAGGUGGGUUUCAUGGUGGCUGGCCUAAGAAUAGUACACCUCUGUAUUUAUUAGGGAGGUUCAGCUCAAUGUGGAAACUUUAUAAAACUUAAUUCCAGGUGACAACUCAUUCCCAGAGGACUGGGGCAUGCAAGUUCCCUCAUGGCCAGUUAAUUUCCUGGGCAUGCUCCUGCAAAGCCUUUGGAUAACACAGUACUUUGCUUCUUUCUUAGUCUCUUUCAACAUUCAGGAGACCAUAGCUUCCUUUAUGCACAGGCCUACAAAAGGAACUUUGUUCUUAGAGAAUUUGUUAAUUAAGAUACCUCUAUAUUUACCACCUUUUCCAUAGUAAGGUUAAUGUUGUUUGAAGUCAUGGAAGAUACUUUUUAUUUUCUUUGUAUCCGGCAUAAUGCUUUUGAAGGCAAGGUUUUGUUUUGUUUGUUUGUUUGCUUUUUAGGGCUGAACCCAGGGCACAUGGAAGUUCCCAGGCUAGGGGUUGAAUCAGAGCUACAACUACCAGUCUACACCACAGCCACAGCAAUGUGGAAUCUGAGCCAUGUUUGCAGCCUACACCACAGCUCAGGCAACGCCAGGUCCUUAACCCACUGAGCGAGGCCAGGGAUCGAACCCUCAUCCUCAUGGAUCUAGUCUGGUUCGUUAACCGCUGAGCCACGAAGGUAAUUCCCUAGGCAAGGCAUUUUUAAGUGUUGGACCCCAAGUAGAACUUGGGCCUUUUUGGUUGAGGCCACUAACCUCCAGAGAAAAUUUAAAUGAUGGUUAUACAGAAAGCAACUUUUGAUUUCUUUUUUAAAACUCAUUUGCUUUAUAAAUUAAUAACAAGCUAUAAAAUGAUGUUUGUUUAAGAAAAGGCUCACAGUGGAAAAAGAUCCUCAAAAAAAGAACCUAGUAUGUACAUUAAAACACAGAUAUAUAAAUAAAAAGAAACAUCAAGCAUGGGAAGUUUAGAAUUUAGGGGAAAAUCAGUUAGGUUCUCAUUUUCACAUUAUGUGUGAAACUUAAGCUACCUAUGUAAAAUGCAGUAACUACAUAAAAAUGAAUAAUAAAAUUAAAAAUUUACAUAAAUAUGUAUCCUGACUUCUGGGUGGAGAAGAAUUUAAUGAACAAAAAAGUGUAAGAAUGUUAUUUGCCAUUUGUACAUUUGAUUAACUUAAGUUUAGCAGUAUCUUUUUAAAAAGUCUAACAAAAUCAAAAGAUAAAACCCAAGGGAAAUAUAAACCUACACACAGUAUGUUUAAUAUCUUAAUUCUUUGAAGAGCUCAUGUUAAUUCAUUUGGUUUAUCUUAAAUUCCCGGUUUCCAUUUGGACAGUCUACACAUACUACUAUUUAGUGGAACUAAGAGUCUUAAGUCCAGAGAAAAACUUACCUCUUGGUGCCCUGUUCAGUUGAGUAGUUAAUAGCCCUCUGUCCCCCACAAUUCUCACUUCAUUUUACAUUCUUUUUUGUGCUUUUUCCUUCUUUGCUCUUACUUCCUCACUUUUUUGAUGGAUCCUCUUCCUCUUUUUGCGCCAUACUAAAUUUAACAGAGUUUUUUUUUCCCCCCCUUUAUUGUUUCUUUUGUCUGAUNCCCCCCCCCCCUUUAUUGUUUCUUUUGUCUGAUUAAGGUUUCCUUCCUCUUUUAUUUUGCAAGAGUUGUAUUUUGCACAGUUGGGGGCACUCCUUGAACUUGGAAGUCUUCACAUCCCCCCUUCUCUAGUGCCUGUUUUUCUUUAGAAUUAUUUAUCAGAUUAGAACAGCGUAGGCGGUGUUUUCAAAACUUUUUGUGAUAGAGCAACUGAAAUGUAACUGGACAUGAACUGAAAUUUAUUUCUAAAUAACUCUGAGGAGCAGCGUGGAACUUGCUUCUUCCACGGAGCAGGAGUAAUUGGUGUUUGUUAACUAGGAGAUCCUGAUGCUGCUUAGUUUCUCUAUGAUCUUUGGGAAUGUUUAGUUGUUCUGCCUUUAACUAAAUUGUGGUUAUGCAAAACUGCAUUAUUUUUUUCUUGGAAGGCCUCCCAGUAAUUAUAACAGACUAUAGCAGUUCUCAGACUUCAGUGGGCAUAAGCAAUAGACUUGUUAAAAUAAAAAUGUCCCACUUCUGGAAGUUAGUAUUCAGCAGAUCUUGGGCAGGCCCUUUUAAAACUGAAUUUAGAAGAAGCACCCCAGGUAAUUUUGAUAUAGGUCAUCAGGAGACCACAACUGGAAAAACAUUGCCAUAUGGCAUCAAGACCAAACUCUUCGAUAUGGCUCAUAAUUUUGCUUCUCUGCCUCUCCAGCCCCAUUUUCCAUAGGUCUACACCACACACCUUUCGCUUCAGAAAUGUUAAGCCAUUCAUACAUGUUGUAACCCUAACCCUUUAUAUAUCCUGGCACAUGCUGGUCCCUCUGCCUACAAACCCCUGCCUUGCACCUUCAUUCUUUAGGUCUCUAUUAAAGCAGCUCACCUUUCCUGAAAUGAAGUUAAUCUACACUCACAUUCGUAGUUCUAUUAUUGCACUUAACACAGCACUUCAUCAUGGCUGGUUUCCUGGACUCUCCCUACUAGAUUAUGUGUUCCUUAAGGAUAGAGGCUGUCAAGUUGAUCUCUGUCCUUCAGUGUCUGGCACAUGAAAUAAAGCUUCUUUUGCCUCUUUGGAACUUUUAGCCUGCUAGACCUAAAGAAAUGCUGUAGUAGCAGUGCUGCACUCCUGUAUUCUGAGAGUUUUCAUGUGGUUUUAAGUAUACUUAUUUUUACAAAAAGCAGUUGUUUUAAAAUUAUUUUUCCAAAAGCAAGUAUUUUGAAUUAUUUUUGAAUUAAAGGGACAAAAAUAAUUUAGUAAUUAAUAAGGCACCCUGGCUAUAUACCAUAUAUUUUUCUUGCCACUGUAUGUGACUAUGUAAGUUGUUUUUCCUCACAAGACUUUAAUUUGUACCUAUAAUUCUACCUGAUAUCUACAGUGGCUUUCCGAUGGUCUUCCCCUUUUCUAAUAACUCUUAUAUAAGCACCAUGUCCUCUGACUAGAAUACACUUGCUCCCCCAUCUCCCUCACUUCGAUAUUUAGUUCUUUUCAGUUGCCUUCUGAAGAGGAAAAAAAAAAAAAA
rnacentral:lncRNA from 1 species